ensembl:lncRNA
AGAGAUUUAUUUACCUUGUCCCUUCACAGGCCAGGCUGCACUGCUUUUUUGCUAAAAAAAAUGCAUAUUCUUUAAAGAAAUUGAGUUUCUCAAGUUCCUUCACCAAGUUCUUUCACUUUCAAUAUUCUAGAUUAUUUCCAGUGAAGUAAUUAGGAAUAACUCAGAUUUGGUUCUUUCUCACAGCGUGCCACACAUUUGUGAUUUCAUUUCUUUCUAAUUGGUCAAUGAAAAUAUUACAGGUUGGUGAACUUCAUUUUGUUUCUGGUCACCACCAGUUAAUUUCACUUCCCAGUCCGUGGGCAUUGACAGAGGGCUGCAAUUACUAUAGAUUUUGUGUGGAUGGCACUCGGAGAGCCUUGUGAUGGCUGGCAGCUUAAAACACUCAGACAGAUGGAUUCUUGGACUGCAAAUACAGCAGUGGAAUGCUUGGUUGGACAGAACUAUUUUAAAAGAGCAGGCAGAAUUUUCACCAGCAUAACCACACUGAAGGGUUACUUCUGAUGUAGCUGCACCGGAGCAGAAGAACUGCACUCAAUAACUGCAUCGGUUUUCAAAUGGCCCAUAAUGCAUAUGCAGACUCAAGCAAUGCAGUGCAUCCGUGGAUCCAGCUGAUCAGCCUUUUUGCAACAGAUCUCAUAAUGCUUUCUGAAGGGAAGACCACAGAAAAUAAUACCCCCAUCCUCUUCACGAGAGCAGCAGCCCGGGUGUGUGUGGCACUGGGCAGCAGCACGUGGUGCAGCGUGGCUGUGAUGCAGCAGCUGAUGUGCAGCACAGCUUUUUUGUUGUGUGACGAUGCUAGAUAGCAGCAGCAAGAGGCGUCUCCCAGAUUUGUUAUCUGAAGAGAGCUUUGCCUCUUCAAUGACAUGACUGUGUUAAACCCGACACUCUUGUCUGGGAACAGCAGAGAGCAGGAGCUGAAAUCUGUGAUAGUGUCAUUGUUCCCAGAGGUGCAGUGACUGCUUCACUUUACAGUGCCAUACCACGCUGGGAAGCACUGCCCCCAGGAGCGCUACAAACUCUUUGUUAAUGCGGAUAAUAGACUUCAGGACCACUUAAACCCCUUAAGACAAUAAGGCUUGGGCAGCUGAGAGUAUUAACUACGUAAUUUCAAAAACGUUCAGAAAAGAUUUUCCUUUCAUUUUUCAGAUGGCUUGCUAAUAUUUAUGUUAAGCUUUCGACAUCUGUGAUAGACUAUUAUUUUGAGCAGAAUGAAUC